CCUCAGACCUGAAUAUGCUCUGACACUGUUUUGGAUACAAACCUGGCGGCAGUGCUGGUGUUGGAGGACGUAUCAAGGAGAUAAUAGAACUUGGCAUGCUUACCAUUUCCAAACAGAAAAAUUCAAGAGAGAAAUUUAAAGUGAAAAUUGGACAACCAAGACUGAAAUUUCUCCAGCUUUACUACAACCAUGGCAAGCAAACUGUUAGGGUUGAGGAAGGUGGUGCUGUGUAACUUUCACACAGAAAAGAGUGAAGUGAUCAAAGUCAUCCUGAAAGGCAAACAGCUAAAAGAAGAAAGAGAAUGGUGUGUGCAGCAGGACAGACAACUUGCUUGGUGGAUGCAUUAUUUUGGGAUAAAUCUGAUGUUUGAGAAGGUCUGGAAAUGCAUUUUAGUGCUGUUCUUACGUCAUGGGGUUAUGGAGGAACCUAAAAUCAAAGGAUACAUUCAGAGUGCCAGCAAACUGCUCAAACAAUGUGCCAACCAACACACCAUUCUACAGAGCAAAUCCCCACAGCAGGACGACACAGUGAAGAAAGCCAGGAGAUGUGGAAGUAUGCAAGGGAUUCCUCCGAAUAUUAAUGAAGGAAUGGUGGACUCAGACAGCAUGGAGACUGAUUGGAAUAUACUACUUGUACAGCUACUGAAACCAGCAGCAGUGAUUCUUGUGGCAGUCACUGGGAUACACACAUACAUAGACCUAGUGGCUGUCAUCCUAAUGGAACACUGGGCAGAGUUGGAGAGAUUGUUAUUAGAUUUGUGGUGCCAAUUCCAAUCAAUAUCGAUGUAUUAUUGCUGGCAAGAAAUAAGAAUUUAAGCUGCACUAAGGCUAGCUUUACACAGUGAAACUUUCAUGCCACUACUUUCAUGUUGUGAGUUGCCUGCAACUGGCGUGCACCUAGACUAUUACCCAGCAAUUAAAAAACAAUCAAUGUUGCAUGCAAAACAUUGUUAUUUCACUAGUUAACCAAGCUCUUUUUGAUGCACCAUCAUUCUCGCUAUAAUUUCCAUGAGGUGGAAUAUCUAAAGCAUUUUUAUCAUCUUUGUGUGUACCUAUCUAGGGCCUAUCUAUCUGUCUGCCAUAGAAGAUCUUCGCAUAUCAGAUGUAAUAUUUUUCUGAAGAAUAUUAAUUUGAAUUGUACGUAUCGCAACAAUAACCAGCAAUGCUGCACAUUUGAGGAACUACAUAAGGCCUACGGUUUGUAAAUACAUGGCAAAAGACAUAAGUAAAGACUGAACCAUAGUGUGCAUAGCAUUAUUAUAACAAUAUGCAAUAAAGCUAGCAGAGAUGAGACACAAAACCAUAAUGAGAAUAUGUAUAUUAAAAUAAAAAUCCAAAAGCAUAGGUUUUUAACUAACAACAUUUAACUGGGAUUAUUUUAUUACCUUAGAUUAGUUCUAUGUUUUGUAGGCAGGGGAGUGGGAGGUGUAUUUGUAUUUAUGGCUUAAGGUUUAAUUUCUACACUUUGGAUUGUAUAGUAACCUUAUCACAUUUUAUUAGAUCUCUGGUACUCGAUAUAUAGUCUAUAUAAAGAAGAAGUUAUAGCCUAAUAUAGCUUUGUCUAACUAAGUUUAAGUAAUCUAUUUUCAUUUAUUCACAUGUAUCCAUGAGAAAUUAUUUUAAUUAACUUCUGCACAGGUGGCAAUUUUCCUCCAAUAUGUUCAAUACAGCAAAUAAACAGUGAUUAUGCAUCAAAAUGUGCAGAAUUGUGUUCUCAUUAGAGGAUGUGUUAACUUAUUUUCAAAAAAACAUGUAUUUUGUCCAGACGUUUGCCCAAACUUUUGCAUAUGAUUGUUCAUUUGCAUAAACAUGUAUGUAGUUACCACACUGUUAUUUCUUGAUU